rnacentral:rRNA from 1 species
GAGUUUGAUUCUGGCUCAGGAUGAACGCUGGCGGCGUGCCUAACACAUGCAAGUCGAACGAAGCAUAUAGAAGGAAGUUUUCGGAUGGAAUUUUAUAUGACUUAGUGGCGGACGGGUGAGUAACGCGUGGAUAAUCUGCCUUACACAGCGGGAUAACAAGUGGAAACAGUUGCUAAUACCGCAUAAGCACACAGUAUCGCAUGAUACAGGGUGAAAAGAUUUAUCGGUGUAAGAUGAGUCCGCGUCCCAUUAGCUAGUUGGUGAGGUAAAAGCUUACCAAGGCGACGAUGGGUAGCCGGCCUGAGAGGGUGAACGGCCACAUUGGGACUGAGACACGGCCCAGACUCCUACGGGAGGCAGCAGUGGGGGAUAUUGCACAAUGGGCGAAAGCCUGAUGCAGCGACGCCGCGUGAAGGAUGAAGUAUUUCGGUAUGUAAACUUCUAUCAGCAGGGAAGAAAA